rnacentral:rRNA from 1 species
CAGCGGCAGACGGGUGAGUAACACGUAGGCAACCUGCCCUUCAGACGGGGAUAACAGUUGGAAACGGCUGCUAAUACCCGAUAGUUACCCGGGGUUAUGGAGAUUCGGGGUAUAAAGUUACGGCGCUGAAGGAGGGGCCUGCGGCCCAUCAGUUAGUUGGUGAGGUAACGGCUCACCAAGACAAAGACGGGUAGGGGGUGUGAGAGCAUGGCCCCCCACAAUGGGACUGAGAGACGGCCCAUACUCCUACGGGAGGCAGCAGCAGGGAAUAUUGCACAAUGGACGCAAGUCUGAUGCAGCGACGCCGCGUGGAUGAUGGAGGCCUUCGGGUUGUAAAAUCCUUUUCUGGGGGAAGAGAGAGGACGGUACCCCAGGAAUAAGUGUCGGCUAACUACGUGCCAGCAGCCGCGGUAAUACGUAGGACACGAGCGUUAUCCGGAUUUACUGGGCGUAAAGCGUCUGUAGGCGGUGCGGUAAGUUGGCUGUGAAAGCCCCAGGCUUAACCUGGGGAGGCCAGUCGAGACUGCCGGACUUGAGGGCGAGAGAGGGGAGUGGAAUUCCCGGAGUAGCGGUAAAAUGCGCAGAUAUCGGGAGGAACACCAGUGGCGAAGGCGGCUCCCUGGUUCGCACCUGACGCUGAGAGACGAAAGCUAGGGUAGCAAACAGGAUUAGAGACCCUGGUAGUCCUAGCCGUAAACGCUGGACGCUAGGUGUGGGGUCGAGAGGUUCCGUGCCGCAGCUAACGCAGUAAGCAUCCCGCCUGGGGAGUACGGCCGCAAGGCUAAAACUCAAACGAAUUGACGGGGACCCGCACAAGCAGCGGAGCGUGUGGUUUAAUUUCGAUGCUACACGAAGAAACCUUUACCUGGGUUUUGACAUGUAGGGUGGUAGUGAGGCGAAAGCCGAGCGACCCUUUCGGGGAGCCUACACAGGUGCUGCAUGGCUGUCGUCAGCUCGUGCCGUGAAGGUGUCGGGUUAAGUCCCGUAACGAGCGCAACCCUUUACCCUUUAGUUACAAGUGUCUAAGGGGACUGCCGGCGAGAAAGCCGGAGGAAGGUGGGGAAUGACGUCAAGUCAGCAUGGCCCUUAUAUCCAGGGCUACACACACGCUACAAUGGUCGGUACAAAGGGCAGCCAAGCCGUGAGGUGGAGCGAAUCCCAACAAAGCCGGUCGUAGUUCGGAUUGCAGGCUGCA